rnacentral:rRNA from 1 species
GAUGAACGCUAGCGGCAGGCCUAACACAUGCAAGUCGAGGGGUAACUAGAGUGAUAGCAAUAUUACUUUGGCUAGACCGGCGCACGGGUGCGUAACACGUAUGCAACCUACCUUAUACUGGGGAAUAACUUCGAGAAAUCGGCGCUAAUACCCCAUAACAUUGCGAAGAGGCAUCUCUUUGCAAUUAAAGCUCCGGCGGUAUAAGAUGGGCAUGCGUCCAAUUAGCUAGUUGGUGAGGUAACGGCUCACCAAGGCUACGAUUGGUAGGGGUUCUGAGAGGAUGAUCCCCCACACUGGUACUGAGACACGGACCAGACUCCUACGGGAGGCAGCAGUGAGGAAUAUUGCGCAAUGGACGAAAGUCUGACGCAGCCAUGCCGCGUGCAGGAUGACGGCCCUAUGGGUUGUAAACUGCUUUUGCACGGGAAUAAACCCUUCUACGUGUAGGAGGCUGAAGGUACCGUAAGAAUAAGCACCGGCUAACUCUGUGCCAGCCGCCGCCGUAACAC